rnacentral:rRNA from 1 species
AUACGGAGGGUCCAAGCGUUAUCCGGAUUCAUUGGGUUUAAAGGGUCCGCAGGCGGGAAAAUAAGUCGGUGGUGAAAGCCUACAGCUCAACUGUGGAACUGCCAUUGAUACUGUUUUUCUUGAGUAUAGAUGAAGUGGGCGGAAUAUAUCAUGUAGCGGUGAAAUGCAUAGAUAUGAUAUAGAACACCGAUUGCGAAGGCAGCUCACUAAACUAUUACUGACGCUCAGGGACGAAAGCGUGGGGAGCGAACAGGAUUAGAAACCCCAGUAGUCC